rnacentral:rRNA from 1 species
AGAGUUUGAUCCUGGCUCAGAUUGAACGCUGGCGGCAGGCUUAACACAUGCAAGUCGAGCGGAAACGAGUUAUCUGAACCUUCGGGGAACGAUAACGGCGUCGAGCGGCGGACGGGUGAGUAAUGCCUAGGAAAUUGCCCUGAUGUGGGGGAUAACCAUUGGAAACGAUGGCUAAUACCGCAUGAUGCCUACGGGCCAAAGAGGGGGACCUUCGGGCCUCUCGCGUCAGGAUAUGCCUAGGUGGGAUUAGCUAGUUGGUGAGGUAAGGGCUCACCAAGGCGACGAUCCCUAGCUGGUCUGAGAGGAUGAUCAGCCACACUGGAACUGAGACACGGUCCAGACUCCUACGGGAGGCAGCAGUGGGGAAUAUUGCACAAUGGGCGCAAGCCUGAUGCAGCCAUGCCGCGUGUGUGAAGAAGGCCUUCGGGUUGUAAAGCACUUUCAGUCGUGAGGAAGGUAGUGUAGUUAAUAGCUGCAUUAUUUGACGUUAGCGACAGAAGAAGCACCGGCUAACUCCGUGCCAGCAGCCGCGGUAAUACGGAGGGUGCGAGCGUUAAUCGGAAUUACUGGGCGUAAAGCGCAUGCAGGUGGUUUGUUAAGUCAGAUGUGAAAGCCCGGGGCUCAACCUCGGAAUAGCAUUUGAAACUGGCAGACUAGAGUACUGUAGAGGGGGGUAGAAUUUCAGGUGUAGCGGUGAAAUGCGUAGAGAUCUGAAGGAAUACCGGUGGCGAAGGCGGCCCCCUGGACAGAUACUGACACUCAGAUGCGAAAGCGUGGGGAGCAAACAGGAUUAGAUACCCUGGUAGUCCACGCCGUAAACGAUGUCUACUUGGAGGUUGUGGCCUUGAGCCGUGGCUUUCGGAGCUAACGCGUUAAGUAGACCGCCUGGGGAGUACGGUCGCAAGAUUAAAACUCAAAUGAAUUGACGGGGGCCCGCACAAGCGGUGGAGCAUGUGGUUUAAUUCGAUGCAACGCGAAGAACCUUACCUACUCUUGACAUCCAGAGAACUUUCCAGAGAUGGAUUGGUGCCUUCGGGAACUCUGAGACAGGUGCUGCAUGGCUGUCGUCAGCUCGUGUUGUGAAAUGUUGGGUUAAGUCCCGCAACGAGCGCAACCCUUAUCCUUGUUUGCCAGCGAGUAAUGUCGGGAACUCCAGGGAGACUGCCGGUGAUAAACCGGAGGAAGGUGGGGACGACGUCAAGUCAUCAUGGCCCUUACGAGUAGGGCUACACACGUGCUACAAUGGCGCAUACAGAGGGCGGCCAACUUGCGAAAGUGAGCGAAUCCCAAAAAGUGCGUCGUAGUCCGGAUUGGAGUCUGCAACUCGACUCCAUGAAGUCGGAAUCGCUAGUAAUCGUGGAUCAGAAUGCCACGGUGAAUACGUUCCCGGGCCUUGCACACACCGCCCGUC